GGGUAGGGGAGCGUUCUGUAGGCCGUAGAAGGUGUGCUGUAAAGCAUGCUGGAGGUAUCAGAAGUGCGAAUGUUGACAUGAGUAGCGAUAAAGCGGGUAAAAAGCCCGCUCGCCGAAAGCCCAAGGUUUCCUACGCAACGUUCAUCGGCGUAGGGUGAGUCGGCCCCUAAGGCGAGGCAGAAAUGCGUAGUCGAUGGGAAACGGGUUAAUAUUCCCGUACUUUGAUUCAAUGCGAUGUGGGGACGGAGAAGGUUAGGUUGGCAAACUGUUGGAAUAGUUUGUUUAAGCCGGUAGGUGGAGUGUUCAGGCAAAUCCGGGCGCUCAAAACACCGAGAAGUGACGACGAGUAUCUACGGAUACGAAGCAACCGAUACCACGCUUCCAGGAAAAGCCGCUAAGCUUCAGUUGGAUCAGAACCGUACCGCAAACCGACACAGGUGGGCAGGAUGAGAAUUCUAAGGCGCUUGAGAGAACUCGGGAGAAGGAACUCGGCAAAUUGAUACCGUAACUUCGGGAGAAGGUAUGCCCUCUGAUGUUAAGCCCUUGCGGUGUAAGCAUUGGAGGGUCGCAGAGAAUCGGUGGCUGCGACUGUUUAUUAAAAACACAGCACUCUGCCAACACGAAAGUGGACGUAUAGGGUGUGACCUGUCU
rnacentral:rRNA from 1 species